rnacentral:rRNA from 1 species
CCCUUAGAUGUCCUGGGCCGCACGCGCGCUACACUGAGUGUCUGAGAUACGAGUCUGCCUGGUCCGGCAAGGUCUAGGUAAUCGCUAAAAGACACAUCAUGCUUGGGAUAGAUUAUUGCAAAUAUUAAUCUUGAACGAGGAAUUCCUAGUACGCGCAAGUCAACAGCUUGCGUUGAUUACGUCCCUGCCCUUUGUACACACCGCCCGUCGCUACUACUGAUUGGAUGUUUAAGCGAGGUUCUCGAACUGCUAGCGACUUAGCUUCGGUGAGGUCGCAGUGUGGGAAGUGAACCUAGCUUUGGUGUCUAGAGGAAGUAAAAGUCGUAACA